rnacentral:rRNA from 1 species
GUGCCAGCAGCCGCGGUAAUACGUAGGGUGCGAGCGUUGUCCGGAAUUACUGGGCGUAAAGGGCUCGUAGGUGGUUUGUCGCGUCGUUUGUGUAAGCCCGCAGCUUAACUGCGGGACUGCAGGCGAUACGGGCAUAACUUGAGUGCUGUAGGGGAGACUGGAAUUCCUGGUGUAGCGGUGGAAUGCGCAGAUAUCAGGAGGAACACCGAUGGCGAAGGCAGGUCUCUGGGCAGUAACUGACGCUGAGGAGCGAAAGCAUGGGUAGCGAACAGGAUUAGAUACCCUGGUAGUCCAUGCCGUAAACGGUGGGCGCUAGGUGUGAGUCCCUUCCACGGUUUCUGUGUCGUAGCUAACGCAUUAAGCGCCCCGCCUGGGGAGUACGGCCGCAAGGCUAAAACUCAAAGGAAUUGACGGGGGCCCGCACAAGCGGCGGAGCAUGCGGAUUAAUUCGAUGCAACGCGAAGAACCUUACCUGGGCUUGACAUACACCAGAUCGCUGCAGAGAUGUAGUUUCCCUUGUGGUUGGUGUACGGGUGGUGCAUGGUUGUCGUCAGCUCGUGUCGUGAGAUGUUGGGUUAAGUCCCGCAACGAGCGCAACCCUUGUCUUAUGUUGCCAGCAUUUGGUUGGGGACUCAUGAGAGACUGCCGGGGUUAACUCGGAGGAAGGUGGGGAUGACGUCAAAUCAUCAUGCCCCUUAUGUCCAGGGCUUCACACAUGCUACAAUGGUCGGUACAACGCGCAGCGACACUGUGAGGUGGAGCGAAUCGCUGAAAGCCGGCCUUAGUUCGGAUUGGGGUCUGCAACUCGACCCCAUGAAGUCGGAGUCGCUAGUAAUCGCAGAUCAGCAACGCUGCGGUGAAUACGUUCCCGGGCCUUGUACACACCACCCGUCACGUCAUGAAAGUUGGUAACACCCGAAGCCAGUGGCUCAAACUCGUUAGGGAGCUGUCGAAGGUGGGAUCGGCGAUUGGGACGAAGUCGUAACAAGGUA